ensembl:lncRNA
CACUCUCUACAAUAACCUGAUAGGAGGUUGCAUUGAGGAGGUAACAGUGAUGGAACAAGAGUAUGCUUGCGCACCUCACGUCCCAAAUCUGUGGAAAUGAUCCUGGUUGCAUAUGUCAGUAAGGAUAGACGAAGGAACAAAAAGUGAAGACACUGAAACAUAGCUGCAAAGUAAUUCCUGACUUAGUGAUGGUAAUUCUCCUGCAUCAUUCCUUCAGAAACAUCAAACACAUUUGUUAACUGUAUAACGAGAAGGCAAAUCCCUGACAGAAAUUGGAAAAAUAAAGGGAAUCAACUUGAAGUCCCACAGUCAGAGAACAAAAGAAAGCUUAAAUAGAAGGAAGAAGCCCAUUCAAGUCAGCUACAGGAGCUGCCUACUCAAGCCAAAAACCUUGGGGUGAAUAAUGAGUUCCUGCCACAAAGCACCUCACCUUUUAAUGUAAUUUAUGAAAUGCAGCAGUUAUUUGUUGCUGUGGAGAUUAAUAACAACCACUUACAGAUAUAUGUAUGUAUGGUCCAGCAAGGGAUUACCAUUUCUUAUACAGUAGGAUAGAUUGCACAAUCAAAAAAUUUAUCCCUAGCAUUUCUAUGAUUUCUUUAGCUCUCUGUGGUGGAGAUGGAAAGACAUCUGCAGAAAACCGUCCCUGUUUCCUGUGUCAGGCAUUCAGCCAGAACAACUAUGUACAUCCAGCGUCUUCAUCAUUACACUUCUAAGUGAAGUCACACUAUGAAAACACACACUGUGAUUAAUAUAUGGGUGCAGUCAAGUCCCAGUUUUCCCUAGUAAAGGGAGUGCUGUAACUAGGCAAGAAAGCACUCCAGGGUAUGUAUUAACUCAGGUGUGCAGAAAGGCAUGAAACAUUAGGCUGAGUAAUUUUAAACAUGUGAGCAAUAUAUUAAUGGAUAAUUAAUAUGUGCCCUAGAGUGUAUAUAGCUCUUAGUCACAGUAAUAAAGCACAUUCCUAACAAUAAAUAAUUGCUAUCUUUGCAAACAAAAGGAAAACUCAGGGAUGUAUUGAGACAUUAGGUGUAGAAUUUUGGAAAAUGCUGAUUUAAGUAGUGCUCUAGGCUGUGCCUACAUACUAUGCUAUUCACAUUUGCUGAGUGAUGUACUUGUACAACUUGGUUUGUACUUUCACACACUCAAGUACAAAUCAACACUGCAGGGUUUAGGUUACGUGUCUGGGUUCAUUUGGAUCCAAAUAGCGUGAUAUGUUGACCAACUACGCAGGGUUACUCUCCUAUCAUUUAAGCACCUCAGAUUAACUUGUGUGUCAGCGUGGUCCUUCAGUAUUCAGAGUAAAUGAGAACCUCUUUAUCCUAGAUGAUCAGUGACCUCCAGAGCCAAUUCCACAAAAUGCAGCUUGCUGAGAAGGUCAGUGAUACUUUGAACAAUGGGCUCUGGAUCCACCUGAGAACAAGCUGCAUCUUCUGUAAUAGGCAAAGGCGUACCAGCUGGCAGUGGGCUAAACAUUUUUUCCAGUCUCAUCAUACCAAAAAGAGAAGACAUUUUUUCUUUUGGAGGAUGCUUAAUCCCAGCUUCGUACUGAACAAUGAGCGGGUGGAGUGAGAUGGUAAAGUCUGCUACUAGCAUCUACUAUGUAGGUGUGAAGAGCCAUCACCCAUCUAUUCUACAUGCCCAUCACCAGUUACACUGCCAAAAAUAUCAAUGACUUCAGUAGUCACAGUUUCCCCAAAAGCAGGGGGGUCCAUAGAUAAAAUACAUGUGUGUUUUCUGACGCCUGCCAGCUCUUCUGUCUUCCUUACAAUAAAAGCACACCUGUGGUUGCUAGAUGCCUGUUUCCUGGGGAUAUUUAUCUGUUCAUCCUAAACUGUCUUUCUAAGUCUGCUCUUUGACAAAGAACAAUAAAUCAGAAAAGGGUAUGCAGGAAGGAAGCCUGUGGAAGAAACAGAGUUCUUAGGGUGCUUUUGCAAUAUCCUCAGCAAUAUGACUCUAAUGUGUCUCAGUUUUACUCAUAAUUGUUAGUGAUCACAGUGGUUAUCGGCUGUACUUGUUCUCUGUGGUGUCAUUUUGUCAUAUCUGGCUCAAAACAUCGUCUCAGAGAGACAAUGAAAAAACUGUUCCAUGUGGAAGUCAGCUAUAAAUGCAAUAAAAAGUCUGUGUUUAUU